UUUGAUAGCUCAUUUCUUAAAGAAGAUUACAGGCUACUCAAAAUUACGAUAUGACCACGGGCAAAGCCGUGGGAUAUAGCUACCUUUUUUAUAAUUUUAUGAAUAAUAAAAAAAUGUAGGUAUUCAUAGAUGACCGCUAUUUUGGAUAUAAAAUGAUGAAAAUAUUAUAAUCCUUUAUUCGACUUUAUGACUAACAGGAGGUUAGUCCAAAGUACAGCGAGCACUCAACUUAUCGAGACAUCAUGCCCUCCUCUUUAUGUUGUGAUUCAUCCGUACUCUGAAAACAAUUGUAACAGUUUUAUUGAGUAUUAUCGAACAUUUUUGUAUUACUAUGAAGACUUCAAAAACAAAAAGAAAUGGAAAAAGUUGAGGCCAAUAUGCAAAUGGUACUCAAACAUGUGGUCACGGCAUGUCUCCUCGCCUUUGGGUGGCAGCCAGCCGCGUUUAGGGUGGCAAAGGUAACCAGGUGGUGGCUCUUUCGCUAAUAACUCUUCCACUUCGGGCAAUUUUAUAUCGCACAACUGUAACAAGACGUGAUGAAUUCACAAUAAUACAACCAUUUAAUAUCUAAAAUUAAUCAUUUUACAAAUAAAGCCAGUUUUAACAGUU